rnacentral:lncRNA from 1 species
GUUGAUGUUCUUAUUGUUGAUAUUGUAAACCCUAGAGGUUGUUUAUUGACGUUGUUGUUUAUUGGCGUUAUUACUCUUGAUAUUCUUGUUGUUGUUGUUGUUGUUUUUUUUCUUGUUUUUGUUGUUGUUGAUGUUGAUAUUGAUAUUAUGUUUUUUAUGAUUCUUUCUACAACUCUCAUCUUGUUCUAUCGAGUUGAGCUUAUUAUAUCUAAUGUCGAUUGUUUAUUUCACUAACCCCUUUUUGAACAUAUAACCUAAUAAAUUGAUUUUGUAAAUAAUCAUAUGCAAAAUUAUAUUGUAUCGGAAACUUAUCUUAUACUGAUUAAUGACUUUCUAGCAUUCUACAACUCAUCAUUCAUCUCCUAUUAUUUUAUAGUUAAAAUCUUUACAAUACUUAUAGUUUUCUUUCAACUUUCUUUCAUAUUUGUCCAUUUUUCAAAACAACAAAUUGAUAUUUCAAUAUUGUUAUUUAAUUAAUCUUGUGUUUAAAGAUGCAUAAAGUGGAUCAAUUUUAUUAUCAGGUGGUGAUGGAUUAUGAGGAGCAAAAUGAUGAAAAAUACGAUGAAGAUGAUGAACAAGAUCAGGAGGAAGAUGAGGAACAAUUUUAUUAACAGAAGCAGAAAGUCCAUGAGGAACAAGGAUAAGGGAAGCAAGGAACAACACUUGUAAGGAUUGGAAAAAGGAGGCCAUAUUUGAAGUUGUGAUUUGUGUGUGCAUAACAUAUAUGGGAUAACCAAGUUUUAUACUAAUCAAGUGCAUAACACUCUUAGGUUUCCAUUGGAUUUUUCUGUGUUGAUUAUUCAAAAAUGUACAACUAUUAUGGCCCAUCGGGUUGUUACAAGUUAUCACUCUAACCAUUAAUGACGACAUGGUUUUAAAAUUGUAUAAUUGCUACGGAAGUUAAUUGACUAGCUUAUUAUUUCUGUCCAUUACUUUCUAUUCCGUAUUCUCCAUCAAAAAUAAUUGCAAGCAAAAUAUUUGUACUAUUUCCAUCGUUUGGUAUAUUAUCUUUCUUGUCCCUAUGUCACUAAGAAAUAAUUUAUUGUUCACAUUUUGAAAUGAUAUCAUUAAAAAAUGGAGGGUCUUAUAGUAUGUGAAAUUUUGUUGAAUCCAGUUCCAAAUAUUCACAAGACAAAAUCAAUUUAACAAUUAAAUGUAAUUUUAAAAUAUUAAAUAUAAAAAAAAAUAUUAUUAAAUGGUUAGAUGUAACCAAACUCUAAAUUAUCAAUUUUUAUGUUAAAUGUAAAAAUAUUUUAAGCCAUUAAACUUUUUUAUAAAUGAAUGUAAAUAAAGAGGCUAGAAAUAACCUAAUUGGAGUACCUUUGUAGCAGUUUUAGUUCCUCCAAAUAAAGCAUCAUGCCAUGCUGACAAGAUCUGGCUUGCCUCUAGGUACACUACAAGAAAAAUGAUAAGUUAUUUUUGAAAGGUUACGCCAUUUUGAACCAUAUCAAUAGUUGCGUCACAAAGGUUGUGGUUCUGAAACAAAAUUACUUAUAGUUUUCUUUCAACUUUCUUUCAUAUUUGUCCAUUUUUCAAAACAACAAAUUGAUAUUUCAAUAUUGUUAUUUAAUUAAUCUUGUGUUUAAAGAUUUGUAUGUGUUAACUAACUCAUAGAUUGAACCUAUGUUUGUAGGGAUCAAUGACCCUAAAUCAAUGAACUUGAACUGUAUUAACUGUUCAACUUGGUAAUUUAUUUAGGAAUAAAUAAUUUAAAAUUGUGAUUUAAGGUUUAACGUACCAUAUUUGUCUAUUUUAACUUCAAACUUAUCUAAGAGAUUAUGGAGCUGUCAUGUAAAAUAGUGAGUUACAUACCAAGAAAAUGAGUUUUAUUAAUAUAAUUAGUGUACAAUUUUUAAUUAAAAAUCAAAAUAAAAUAUUGACGUCUAAAUUUAGAGAUAUCACCACGGUCCUUCAAAAAAACCAUGGUAACAUUGAAUUUGUUGUAUAUAUUUUUUUGUAGCAGUGACUUCUUUACUACGAACCGCCAACUAUGAUAAAACUUUUUUCACGGCCAAUGUGAUAUAUUUUUUUUACCACACCAAAAUCAAAAUGAAUGUUUUUUACCACACUCUAAAUCUCCGUAGCAAGAUUACAAUUUGACCACUGUUUUGUAAAUUGUUGCUAAUCUUAUUUGCUAAAAUUUUAGUAAAUAUAAGUAAUAUAUGGUAUUAAUUGUAUUUUCCACGAUGUUUAUGCCAAUAUCUUAAAACAAUAUUAUAAUAUGAGAUGGAUAAUAUUAUGAACAGAUGAAAGAUUACCAACAAAAUCUCAAAUGCAUAAACUUUAUUUAUUUGUAUAGGAGAACAAAACACAACUUUCUCUCAAUGAUUUAUAUUCAAUUCGCACAUGUAUAGAUGCUCUCCUAUCAUGGUAAAACCUGAUACAAAAUAAAAAUAGAUAUAAAACGAAAGGGGAUUAACCCAAUAAGGUACGUAGGCAAAGUCAAGCAUUGGGUAACUAAGUGCUAAAUAGGCACCUCAUUAUUUAAUAAAAUAUAUAUUAAUAUGCUUUGUUGACGCAUGAAUUUAGAUAUGAAUUUUAUCUGCUGGAAUUUUCUAAUGAUAUGGUGCUUAGGAAUCAUUUGGUAGUUUGUAAGAACGGUGUGAAGAUGCAUAAAGUGGGAUCAAUUUUAUUAUCAGUUGGUGGAAUGAUGAGGAGGAGUAAAAGAUGAAAAUAUGAUGAAGAUGAAGAGAGAUGAAUGAAAUAUAGGUGGAAAAGAAACAGAAAGUCCAUGAGGAACAAGGAAAGGGCAGCAAAGGAAACAACACUUUGUAAGGAUUGAUGAAAAGGAGGGGGCCAUAUUUGAGUUGUGAUUUGUGGUGAUAACAUAUAUGGGAUAACCAAGUUUUAAUACUUCAAUGCAUAACAUACCACUCUUCGGUCCUCCAAUUGGAUUUUUCGUGUUGAUUAUCAAAAUUACCACUAUUAUGGCCAUCGAUUGUUUUUUAAAGUUAAUCACUCUAACCAUAAAUGACGAACAUGGUUUUAAAAACUGUAUAAUUGCUACGGAAAGUUAAUUGACUAGCUUAUUAUUUGUGUCCAUUUUAACUUUCUAUUCCAUGCGUUUGGUAAUCAACUCUAUCUUUCUUGUCCUAUGCCCACUCAAAAAUAAUUUCUUUUUUCAAUAUUUAUAACAAGUAACGUUGUNNNNNNNNNNNNNNNNNNNNNNNNNNNNNNNNNNNNNNNNNNNNNNNNNAAUUUUAGUAAAUAUAAGUAAUAUAUGGUAUUAAUUGUAUUUUCCACGAUGUUUAUGCCAAUAUCUUAAAACAAUAUUAUAAUAUGAGAUGGAUAAUAUUAUGAACAGAUGAAAGAUUACCAACAAAAUCUCAAAUGCAUAAACUUUAUUUAUUUGUAAAUAGGAGAACAAAACACAACUUUCUCUCAUGAUUUAUAUUCAUUCCACAUGUAUAAUGCUCUCCUAUCAUGGUAAACUGAUACAAAAUAAAAAUAGAUAUAAAACGAAGGGAUUAAACCCAUAAGUACGUAGGCAAAGUCAAGCAUUGGUAACUAAGUGCUAAAUAGCACCACUUAUUUAAUAAAAUAUAUAUUAAUAUGCUUUGUUGGACGCAUGAUUUAGAUAUGAAUUUUAUCUGCUGGAAUUUUUCUAUGAUAUGGUGGCUUAGAAUCAGUUGGUGGUUUGUAAGGACGGGGUGAAGAUGCAUAAAGUGGAUCAAUUUUAUUAUCAGGUGGUGAUGGAUUAUGAGGAGCAAAAUGAUGAAAAAUACGAUGAAGAUGAUGAACAAGAUCAGGAGGAAGAUGAGGAACAAUUUUAUUAACAGAAACAGAAAGUCCAUGAGGAACAAGGAUAAGGGAAGCAAGGAACAACACUUGUAAGGAUUGGAAAAAGGAGGCCAUAUUUGAAGUUGUGAUUUGUGUGUGCAUAACAUAUAUGGGAUAACCAAGUUUUAUACUAAUCAAGUGCAUAACACUCUUAGGUUUCCAUUGGAUUUUUCUGUGUUGAUUAUUCAAAAAUGUACAACUAUUAUGGCCCAUCGGGUUGUUACAAGUUAUCACUCUAACCAUUAAUGACGACAUGGU